GCAACCAGAGACCAGGAUCAGGCCUGUCCCCACAUGCAGGGUUGCUGCUCUGUAAUUACAGCUCUGCGGUGGCCCUGCCCAGGCUUCCAGGGCCGCGGCUCAGCAGCCGGGCACUCUGGGGUCUCCCUCUCGCUAGCACAGCACACGGGCCCCUGAAACAGCCAUUUAAGCAGUGUUUUUUAACAAAUUCACAUCAGUUGCCAAGAUCUAAGGAUCAGGAGAUGUUACAUAAAAAUUUCUGGCUUCUCUGGAAAACCCCAAAAAUCUCAAGAUGGGACAGAAGCUGGACCACAGGACAGCCCAGAAACGUCUGGCCAUAUCUAGGUUAAAGAGGCUCAAUCUGCAUCCCACACGUGCCAAGGCACCAAGCUAUGUGUGGUAGACUCGGUCAUCUCAGAACCCUAUGGAGAUGGUGUAGUUCAGGGUUAGGUUGCUCGUCUCACAAGUGCAAGGCCCUGGGUUUGAUCUUUAGCAGUGAAAAGAAAAGCUAUGAAAAUACUUGCUGCUAUUACGUGCACACGUGUAUGGGAAAGGAGACUUGAGACGUAAGAAACUACUUCGAGCUUUUCUGAAGACACUGCAGGUGAGUAAUGGAAUCUCCACAUCUGGACCAGGCAGCUGGCUCCUGUCUGCCCUUCUCCAUUUCUAGCACCAGCUCAUAUCUUUAAGAAUUCAAAAAUGGGGCUGGGCAUGGUGGUGGUCACCUGUAAUCUCCGCACUCAGAGGCUGAGGCAGGAGGAUCACCAGGAGCUUGAAGCCAUAUACCUGGGCUAUAUAGUGAGACCCACCCAACCAACCAAAUGGACAAACAAACACAUGGACCAAGGAGAGGAACGCUGGAUCAAACACUCCCAUGGUACCCACAUCUCUGUGCACAGGCCCCUGGACUCCGGGCUUUGGGUAGUCUCUGCAACUUCAGGCAGCCUGGGAUUAUUCCUUUACUCUCUCCCCUCAAGAAUAACCAUACCCAGGGCCCUGGUUCACCUUUCAGAAAAACUGAGAUUCCUAAUAAAACAGCAAAAACCAUAAUUUUUAAUCUUAAAACUUACUUGCAUAUUUCUACUGACCAUUUGUGAUUUGCUACAAAAUCCAUGUGGUAUAUUGUGAGAGGCUGCAAAAUACAAGUGUGCUGUUAUGGUUUGGAUGAGUGUCUCCAAUUUUGUACCGGGUGACCCUACCGCGGAGCCAUUUAGGAGGCAGAGCCAGGGCACAGGGUUCUUUGGUUUCUGGGCUGUGCCUUUGAAGUUGAAUUGUGGAACCCUGGCUGUCCCUCUUCCUGCCAUGAUGUGGCAUCCUCACCAGUCACCCAAGGUCAUGGGGGCAUUUGGUCUUGAACUGAACCCUCCAGAACUAUGAGCCAAAAUAGCUCUUUCCUCCCUAAACCUGAAUUUCCCCAGGUGUUUCAUUAUAAUAAGGCAAUGCUAACUAAUACACAUGCACACAUUACACAUUUCACAGUGUGAAGUGAUCUCCCCCAGGUCCCCAGCUACAUGAUGGCUUGAAUCUGAGGCUGACUUUUCCUCAACUCCCCAGCAUGAGCUGUUGUGCCAUAGCCAGCCGAGCCAGGGGGUAAACACAACUUCCAAAUAUCCACUCUUUCAUCCUACGUGACCUUAGCAUGGUCAGCCCAUUAAGGGUAGCGGGAGAAUAAGAAAAAUAAAAGAACCUGGUAAUGUGGAGGGCUAUCCUGUCAAUGGCAGAACGGUGGGCAAGUCUCACUGGGCAGUGAACAGUAUGCUCAUUCCUGCUGUGUUAUUUUUACUGAAAUAUUUGGCCUACUUAU